rnacentral:rRNA from 1 species
GAUGAACGCUGGCGGCGUGCUUAACACAUGCAAGUCGAACGGGAAUUACUUUAUUGAAACUUCGGUCGAUUUAAUUUAAUUCUAGUGGCGGACGGGUGAGUAACGCGUGGGUAACCUGCCUUAUACUGGGGGAUAACAGCCAGAAAUGACUGCUAAUACCGCAUAAGCGCACAGAACCGCAUGGUUCGGUGUGAAAAACUCCGGUGGUAUAAGAUGGACCCGCGUUGGAUUAGCUAGUUGGCAGGGCAGCGGCCUACCAAGGCGACGAUCCAUAGCCGGCCUGAGAGGGUGAACGGCCACAUUGGGACUGAGACACGGCCCAGACUCCUACGGGAGGCAGCAGUGGGGAAUAUUGCACAAUGGGGGAAACCCUGAUGCAGCGACGCCGCGUGAAGGAAGAAGUAUCUCGGUAUGUAAA